rnacentral:rRNA from 1 species
GUGGGGAAUAUUGGACAAUGGGCGAAAGCCUGAUCCAGCCAUGCCGCGUGCAGGAUGAAGGCCUUCGGGUUGUAAACUGCUUUUGUACGGAACGAAAAGACUCCUUCUAAUAAAGGGGGUCCAUGACGGUACCGUAAGAAUAAGCACCGGCUAACUACGUGCCAGCAGCCGCGGUAAUACGUAGGGUGCAAGCGUUAAUCGGAAUUACUGGGCGUAAAGCGUGCGCAGGCGGUUAUAUAAGACAGAUGUGAAAUCCCCGGGCUCAACCUGGGAACUGCAUUUGUGACUGUAUAGCUAGAGUACGGUAGAGGGGGAUGGAAUUCCGCGUGUAGCAGUGAAAUGCGUAGAUAUGCGGAGGAACACCGAUGGCGAAGGCAAUCCCCUGGACCUGUACUGACGCUCAUGCACGAAAGCGUGGGGAGCAAACAAGAUUAGAAACCCCUGUAGUCC